rnacentral:rRNA from 1 species
GACAGAGGGUGCAAGCGUUAAUCGGAAUUACUGGGCGUAAAGCGCGCGUAGGUGGUUUGUUAAGUUGGAUGUGAAAUCCCCGGGCUCAACCUGGGAACUGCAUUCAAAACUGACAAGCUAGAGUAUGGUAGAGGGUGGUGGAAUUUCCUGUGUAGCGGUGAAAUGCGUAGAUAUAGGAAGGAACACCAGUGGCGAAGGCGACCACCUGGACUGAUACUGACACUGAGGUGCGAAAGCGUGGGGAGCAAACAGG